AAGGAUUCGGCCUUUUACAUCCGGGAAGCGUCGAGUUUAGGUUAAGGUACGGCGUCGUGUUUCGUGCGCUAAAAUACUUGAGACAGAACUUUUCGGCCAAGUUUAAAAUGCAGGAGAUGCAACAGUCUUGUAGAAGUAGAUCGACGUCAGCUUGGAAAACCUCUAGGUUCAAACGCCUGAGUGGACUUAAAUGUUCACUGAUUCUCGGGGCAGCCACGUUCAGCCGGGGGCGCUGAGUCGGAAAACUAGCGCGCGUGGGCCGUGGGCCUUCCGGCAAAGUUUAAAUGCAGCUGAUGACUCCGGUGAAGAAGGUCAUUAGUUCCGCUGUUGGUGUCAUGUGGCCAUCUUGAAUCUACUCCGCCACUAUUAAAUAGUAACACCGCAUCCUGAUAACCCGCCAGUUUGAUCCAGGUGGAAGCUGAGCUAAUUGUUCCAAUGGAUGAUGCAAAACAUAACAAGAAGUCAAGAAAUCCAAAGCGAUAUGGGUGAAGUCUUACUUAGCAUCCUGAAGUACACGGCCAAAUGUGAUUUUAAAUCUCAAGUAUGGUAUUUAAAUGGAGAAUAAAUAAGUGCUUCCUUGCUAUAUCAAUAAAAUGCUUGAUUUGUACAGAUGUCAGUGUUCCCUGACUGAAUGACCAAUAAGUGCAAAGAUGUAGUGUGUAAAGGAAGGUGAUUGAUUCACUUCCCUGAUGAAGUAAUAAUUCCAGCAGCUGUACUCCAGCCUUCAGUUUGGCUCACAGAUCAGCAUAGCGUCGUGAGAAGGCAUGUACUCUGCCCUGAUUCUAUUAUAUCAUCCAGGAAAUGUUUCCACUUCUUAAGGUUUAUCUCAGGAUUGGUCGCAGAGCUUUUUCAGUACUGUAUAUCUGCUACAGAUGUUCUACAUUUUGCUGCUAUGAAAUAAUUGUUAAUUACUUUUAAUGGAGAGCAGUCAACCCAAUCAUUUCUCCUUACUCAGUAGUCAUUUGUGAGUCGAGCACCUAAUCCAGGUGAGACCUAGAUGUUUCGAAGACCAUCCUGAGCAAGCACUAGCUGAUGUUAACUCUAGCAAGACAA